GAAGGCUUGAAAAUAUUUUUAUGAGGGGUGCUUGGAUUGAACUUGAACUGAAAAACAUCAGUGUGUUGAUACAGGACAGACUAUUUGACAUGAGACGGUAAACUAUAACAAGUGUAAUUAACAUGGAAUGGACAAGCUAACCACAACCAAGAUUGUGAAAGCAGAGGGGGGAUCUGGAGGAUCUGGAAAAGAAAUCCAAAGACACACAGAAACUGUAACAACCACAAGACUGUCAUCUCUAC
rnacentral:lncRNA from 1 species